rnacentral:rRNA from 1 species
GAUGAACGCUGGCGGCGUGCCUAAUACAUGCAAGUCGAGCGAACAGAUGAGGAUCUUGCUCCUCUGACGUUAGCGGCGGACGGGUGAGUAACACGUGGAUAACCUACCUAUAAGACUGGGAUAACUUCGGGAAACCGGAGCUAAUACCGGAUAAUAUAUUGAACCACAUGGUUCAAUAGUAAAAGACGGUUUUGCUGUCACUUAUAGAUGGAUCCGCGCCGCAUUAGCUAGUUGGUAAGGUAACGGCUUACCAAGGCAACGAUGCGUAGCCGACCUGAGAGGCUGAUCGGCCACCCUGGAACGGAGACAGCGUCAAGAGUACUACGGGAGGCACCAGUAGGGAAUGGUCAGCAAUGGGAGAAAGCAUGACGGAGCAACGCGGAGUGAGUGAUGAAGGCAUUGGGAUCGUAAAAAUCUGUUAUUAGGGAAGAACAAAUGUGUAAGUAAAUAUGCACGUAUUGACGGUAACUAAUAAGAAAGCACCGGCUAACUACGUG